rnacentral:misc_RNA from 1 species
UCAACCAUCAAGCCUGGCUUGUCGUUGGACCUCUUGUCGUUGAAACACCCGACAGGUCCGAAAGGUAGUGACGGUGUCGCGUGUGACCCUAGAUGCAACGAGCUUUCACAGCACGCAUCGAAGUGGUCGGGCGGCCCGGUCUGAACCAUCAUUUUCUAA